UUGUAACCCAAAAGGUAUCAUUUUUUCAAAUUUUAUCUGACACUGUACUUCUGAGACUGCACUGAUUCCGUCUCUGCCAACUGGCCAGUUUCUAUCCAUCCAAAGGAAGUUUGCAGGAGUCAUAAUUCCAAACGCCAAUAUCAUAUCAUCACCUAAGCCAAGACAGAUGAUAGACCAUUUAUUUCGUCUCUAUACUACUGACUUGAAUACUCCAUGGCCUCCUCAUCCCAGCUGUGCUCAGGUCUCACUGGCUGAAAUCAAUGGGGUUUUUUUUGAGCUGUGAAGGUUUUAAUUGAUUAGAUGGAGCUGGUGAAGGGGACAGGCAGCCAUACCUGCUGGGCUGCGAGGGUCCUGCCGCGUGCAUUCCAAACACCUGUGUCUCUAAAGAUAAAAUUCAGCAGAAACACUUACAGUAAGUGUUUUUCCAUUGUUUAAAUGGAACACCCGGGACACUCAUUUCUUUCCACAUAAAAGUAAACAUCCUCUCCUGCUCUCUAGACAGAUGUACAACACUCCUUACUGUGUUAUCAACAUUAGGCAGAGUACCUGGCUACUGGCGCAAACUAAGAGUGGUCCUUGAAUUAUGGAGAUGUGGUCUUGCACUAGUAAGUUUGCAGAAAAGUCAUCCACACACAUCAAGGCCACUCAAGAGUCUGUUAACUUGAGUGUUGUUCUUCUUCCACUACUCCUUGCCAGGCCCCUGAAAGAUGACACAAAUAUAUUUUUUCCAAAUUAGGGUGGUCAUUUCCUUCUCUUCAUAAAUUAUAGCUGCCUCCGUUUCCUGUUUUUAGCCUCUUGGACCUUAGGUUAAUUUUUUUUUUUUGUAUUGUCUUUUUUUUUAGUUUUUUUGAAGUUGAGAGGAGAUGAGGUCGUGGUGUUUUUCUAUCCCACCUCAUCCUCAAGUUACUAACCAUUCUCAUUCAUUAUUUGCAGACUGUUUUAUAAUGAAUGACCAGGUACAAUGCACACUGCUGCGGAAGCCACCAUCGGCCCUGCCUCACAGAUCUCUGAGCUACAUAAAGAUGCCUACAGCCAGACUCUACAUCACAGGUCAGGACCGUCACCUGUUACAGACGAGGGGGCAUGUGCAUGUGUGUUAGACUUACUGGACUUCAGGAUGUGAAGGCCCACUGUAUUACCCCGUUUCCUCUUCCUCUCUUCUCCCUUAUGGCUCACAUCAGGUAUAUAGUCCAUGGGAAAAGGAAGAGAGUGAGACGAAAGGGCGCCAAGUUCCCAUAAGAGCUGUUCCAAUUCUCAACAAUCCAUAACCAGCUUUACCAGCUCAGGUCAGUCGAGGGUUUGCCUUAUUGUUGUGAGUUUAUUAACACUGGAGCAAAUAAUGGUCGAUUUGUUACAUGGUUUGAAGCCAGGCAGACACUUUGCUCUAAUAAAACAAGGUGAAAAUGACA
ensembl:lncRNA